rnacentral:rRNA from 1 species
UACGGGGGGGGUAAGCGUUGUUCGGAAUUACUGGGCGUAAAGGGCUCGUAGGCGGCCAACUAAGUCAGACGUGAAAUCCCUAGGCUUAACCUGGGAACUGCGUCUGAUACUGGAUGGCUUGAAUUCGGGAGAGGGAUGCGGAAUUCCAGGUGUAGCGGUGAAAUGCGUAGAUAUCUGGAGGAACACCGGUGGCGAAGGCGGCAUCCUGGACCGACAUUGACGCUGAGUGAGCGAAAGCCAGGGGAGCAAACGGG